CCGGAACAGGGAGCAGAAGAAGAUCUGAUCUUACUUUCCACUGGUCAAAGGUCCUUUAAAUAAACCAUAAUCUACUGGUUAUUAUCACAUUACCUUGGGAAACCUGUUGGAGUGCAGUUUGAUUAGAAAAGGGCUGCUCUGCUCCUCCACUGCCUCCAUGGCACACUGCAGAGACAUCUGAAGAGAGAGCAGCUGACUAGACGUCUCCCUCAACAUAAAGCGUGUCACAAACUGCCCCAACACGGACGAGCCCUGAUACUCCUGCACAGACAGAAGGAGUCAGGAAGGCUGAACAAAGUGGACCUGCAAUCCGGAUGAAAAUAACAGCGUUUCGUCGGCAUCGUGGCAACGACACUCCAGCCUACUAACUAUACCACAACAACUCUUCUCCACAGCAAUAUAAAAUGCCCCCCCCCCCCUUAUUUAAUAUUCACGGGGGAGGGGUUUACUGUAUGUAAAUAUGGGGUUAGUGACGUCAGCAACCCUGGAGGAAUGUCGUGUAGUCCUUACCGGCCGUUUGCUGUAGUCCUUAGAAAUGGAUUUCUUUAAAAGCAAAUAUCUCCCUUUGCUUAAAACUUUGAGCGUUGUAACUUUGCAGAUGUUGUUUAUGGUCAAACAGGAACAUUACACACUAGCUAAAGUUAGAAAAGUGAAAUCGUGUUUUACCACCCCUUUAAAAAAAAGAAAAAACCAGCCAACAAAGAAACAGGCCAUAACUGGCCAUGAAGCUGCUCAUCAGUCAACGUUUCAGCAUGUGAAAAUAGAAAGACUAUAAAAAUGGCUGUAAUUCAUUAAAGCAAUGGUUUUUGUUAAUGCCCUUGAAUUAAAGCUAAUUUUUGCUUAAUUUGAAAUCCAUUAUGGUGGUGUACAGAGGCAAAAUACAUACUGUAUGGACAAGACUGUA